rnacentral:sRNA from 1 species
AUUCUAUUUUCAGAUCUCGAUUUGCAAGUAAGUAUUUAAAGAGGUACUUUUAUUAAGAGUUAAAAGUGGUAUUUAAUAACCUUUGUGCUAACACAGACCAUUAAAAGUAUGUAGAUGUGUUCGUGGUAAAAUUUAAUACAAAUAUAAAACUGAACUCCAUUAUGAUGUUGCAAUCAGAUAAUGCUUUGUAAAAAUAUUUGUUUAAAGCUACAUGUACAUGUAUAAUUAUAGCCAUAUAGGAAAUGGAAGGAGUCUUCGCACACUUUUUUUCGUUCAAAAAUACUGAAAUGUUUGACGUACUAAAAAAAACAGAUAAAAAAAAACACAGGCUGAUGUAGUCCGCAAUAUCCGACGUUUUCCUUGCCUUUUAACGAUUUUGAUAUUUUACUUGCCUGGCAUGUAAAAGAUAAAAAAAAAAAAGCCAGGAAUAUUUUACUUGUCAGGAAAACGUCAGAUAUAUUGAACUACGAUUGAUGGAAUGACAUGAAAAUUUGACCACCUUAUUUUCAUUGCAAAGUCCCAACAAGUUAGUCCACCCUAUUUAACAUGAACAAUUAUAGAUAGGCAAUAUAUCUUCGUUUGAUGUACGGAUUAGAUAGAAAUCAAUAUUUAUAUACUUGAUGUAAUAAUAAUUUCUUGUUUGGAAAUAAAAUCUGUACAUCUGUU